GCCAACAUGGGGUACUGGUUUGAGCGUUGGACUAUGACUCUGGAGAUCAGGGUUCGAAUCCCAGUUUGGCC